UCUGGCUUAAGGGAAAAACGCAAUGCACACAAAGAAAUCCCCAAUUGGAAUUAAAAAAGAAACCCUCUCCUUCCGUGAUUCAAGAAAAAUGUAAAACCUCUAAGGGCUCUCUGCCUUGCCGCUGCGCUCGAAAUCAUGCCACCCUCAUCAUAUUGCUUGGCCAUCGCUCCAUCCUAUUGCAUCGCCUUGCAUGCAAAUCCCCCUCUUGCUGCCUGUUCAGUCCGCUGCUCCUGCAAAUCUCGCGAACGAAAUCUUCCCACAAUCCGCCACCCACGCACCAUCCUUCUUUCGUUCUGAUAUGUUCCAUCUUUGCUACUGCUUGCUUUCCUCUUUCCCGGUUUGAUCUUCUCUCUGUGCUCGCUUUCAAUUAAUUAAUGUGUAUUAGGGUUAUCUAUUAGGAAUUAGGAUGAGCUUUUGAAUCUAUUGUAAUUGAUGGGUUUUCAUUUAAGCUCUUUGUCUUGAGUUCCCAUAUGAUUAGUCAAUUAGUAUUUCCCAAUAUUUAUUUUUUAAUCUUUCCUCUGUUGAUGGUACGGAUACUUCUGAUUAAUUUUGCAAGCAAGAUUGGUGCUAUAGUUACCAAGAUUUGGAGUUCAGAAGUCACCCAUGUGAUUGCAUCUACUGAUGAAAAUAGAGCAUGCUCUAGGACAGUAAAAGUUCUUAUGGCAAUUCUAAAUAGGGAUGGGUUCUCAAAAUGGAUUGUAAGUUAUUGUGGUUCUACGUUUUCUUACUUUAUUACUUUUAUCCUCAUAUUUGAUUUCUAAUUAUUGAGUUCUUUAGUCACUUAAUGACUUCAUUAUUUGGUUCUUAUUCUGCAACGAUUAUGUUCAUUUGAGCGUUGGAGGUUAGAAGGAAGAAUAGAAUUUGUGGAACAGUUUGAUCAAAUGUAAUGUUCUACAUAGUGGCAUUCUUUCUGAACUUAUAGUUCUCUGCCAUGUGAAGUUCACAUUUUGCUUUGAUAUUUAUAAGAACAUCAACAAAAUAAAGAAGGUCAAGUGCCCCGUAUUGGUGAUAGUGUUUUCUUCACUUUUCAUUCAAAUUUCAUCUGAUCAUCACUCUUCUCCAUGAAUUGUUGAAGCAAGUGAUUAGAUUGGAUGGACAAGCAUUCUGGGGAUUCUGUGCUAACUCAUGGUGCCACAGGAUCGGAUCGGAGCAGAGGGGAUGCAUGCUGUGAUGAAUCUUACAUACACAUGCAUAGUGAAUGCUGAUCACUUUAACCCCAUAUAUUUACAUUCUAGAUAGAUUUGUUUUUUUUUCUAUUUUAUAGAUUUUUCUUAUUGGUUACUAACGUUGUUACGGUCUUUUCACGAAUUAAAUUUUGUAUUUCUUAAUUAAACACCAGUAUUGAGGAUCUUCUAAUUUAAUGAAUUAACUGACAUGAGUCUUAUAUAUAUAUAUAUAUAAGAUAGGAAUUUAGCAGGACAUGAGUGAAAGCAGGACCACAUUGUAUUGGAAUUUAGCACAAGACAGAGAGUAUUUUCAUCAAAAUGGAAUGCCAUUAAAUAAUCAACAGCUACCAAAAGGAGAGAUGUAGGUACAGUAUUAUUAUUCCAAAGGUUUCUCAUCACUCAACUGAUCAAGGACCUCCUCCUUUUCAUAUUUAACAACUUAAUAGCCUUUAUUUUAGAACAAUAACCAUACCAAAUGAUACCUAAGAUCCUAGUGUUGCAAUUAACACUGUUACAUAUAUAAUAGUUAAUUAAGCUUGAUAUAUAUCUAAUUCUUUUGAGUCAAUAUAGGAAAAAAUUAAAGGUGGGGUUUACAAGCUAAAAUCGGGACAUAACACUUGGGAAUCAGAGAUCAUUGUUUAGAGUGUUGGGAAAGUAGCAUUCAUCUUUUCAAAAAUUAGAUUGUAUAGGCUCUUAUUUUUAUAGUGUCAUGCAUGCAUGAUUGUAUAGAGUUAUUAGCAACCACACUUUACUCGAACUCGCCAAUAAUUCACACAUACAAAAAGUAUAGCCAACCAAGUAGCUCACAACUUAGUAAAACUUAGCUUGCUUAUUCCACCCUAAUAAUUCUAUUUAGUAAGAAGAAUCUCCAACAGUAGCUAUACAGACCUUAGUAAUAACAAAACAAGACCUAAAUUAAAUUAUUAGCAAUAAGCUUACCUACCUUUGAUCAUAUAUAUUAUUAUAGUGAUAUGAAAAGGGCGUAUAUAUGUUUUCUUUAUUGGUGAGACAUGAUGACAGUGGGUAGGUAAUAUAACUAAUUUUCAAAGACAGUGAUUAUAUGCUUUCAUCUCAUAACUAGAUAACCAUCGGGGGAACCUCUACCCUUUUUUUAAUUAAACUAGUUCUUUUGGCUUUGUAUCGUUGGAUGAUUGAUGGAAACAAUUUGCAGGUCUAGUUGAGGACCAACAACUGAUGGAGACCUUAGUGUCGAGCUUGAUGAUAUUAGAAAUGAGGGUGUAUGCUGGAGCAAAACCUUUGGUGGAGAAUCAAGAGAGCAUUAAAGCACCAUAUAUUUCACUCAAUGGUCAAUGAAUAUCGAAAAAGUUGAUCGUUUUAGAGUGGAAUAUGCUUCGAUUGUUAUCUUUAAUGAAAUAAAUCGAGAGAUAAAGUCAUUGCUGAAUCUGAAGGCAUAAGACUCUCAAAGCUAUCUGCUGCAAUAUCAAGUCCUUUCUGUAAAUUUUCAUUAGAAAAUAUAGAAAGUGUAUAUGUUGAAUGUUGUAAAUUGUUAUGAAUUUAUACACUGGUUGAGUAUUGAAUUAUCUGUGUAUUGUAUAGUUAAAACAAAAAU